UAAAGGGCAUCUAGGCGGCCUGACAAGUMGGGGUGAAAACCUGCGGCUCAACCGCAGGCCUGCCUUUGAAACUGUGAGGCUGGAGUACCGGAGAGGUGGACGGAACUGCACGAGUAGAGGUGAAAUUCGUAGAUAUGUGCAGGAAUGCCGAUGAUGAAGAUAGUUCACUGGACGGUAACUGACGCUGAAGUGCGAAAGCCGGGGGAGCAAACAGGAUUAGAUACCCUGGUAGUCCCGGCUGUAAACGAUGAUUACUGGGUGUGGGCAGGAAGACUGUCUGUGCCGAAGCGAAUGCGAUAAGUAAUCCGCCUGGGGAGUACGGCCGCAAGGCUGAAACUCAAAGGAAUUGACGGGGGCCCGCACAAGCGGUGGAGCAUGUGGUUUAAUUCGAAGCAACGCGAAGAACCUUACCAGGUCUUGACAUCCCUCUGACCGCUCUAGAGAUAGAGUUUUCCUUCGGGACAGAGGUGACAGGUGGUGCAUGGUUGUCGUCAGCUCGUGUCGUGAG
rnacentral:rRNA from 1 species